rnacentral:lncRNA from 1 species
CCCACUCCAAGGAAGACCGGCAGGGUUCACUAUGAAGCCUUUCAAAGAUUCGUCUAACAAGUUAGGGCCGCUAGGUUUCGUUAGUCAGUCCGUGUGACUCACCCGCAGGAAUCCACGGUCUGCUAUCCCCCACUUGCGCCACAAGGGUAACCACUAACAAGCUAGAAAAGGUCCUCAUACUGAGCUAAAGCCAGAGCCAUAUAGCCCUCACAGUUGUACUGUAUGUCCCGGACGGUCAGAUACAGAUAAGUCCUUAUGGAGAGAAACUAGAGCACCAUAAGAUAGCCCAAUGCUCUAGCCCUCUUUUUCCAACAUUGCUAAAAAGUCAUCUUUUAAUGUUUAUUGCAUAACUCUUUAGUCAAAUUACAAGAUCAUGGUUUAGUGGAGCACUAGCAUAAGCUACCCAAUGCAUAACCAUAGGUGACAAGGUAUAAGAUCAAUACUAGGAAAUCCUUAUCAAGGGGACACAUGCAGUAUGAAUUAAGUGAUUAAAGUUAUUAGAAAACAAGGAUGAUCCCAUGCUAUACUUGCCUUGAUCACACUGGUCCUGCUGAUCCUGCUCGUAGU